UCUUCGCACUCUGGAGAGCGGCACGGCCUCGACUUCGUGAACAAGUCGGCCAGUGCCCACCGAAGGGGCGCGCGACGGAUCGUUUCAACGACGGUCCGCGCAAUCUCUCAGGUACCGAGGACAGAGGGGUCAUG
rnacentral:ncRNA from 2 species